rnacentral:rRNA from 1 species
AUUGAACGCUGGCGGCAGGCCUAACACAUGCAAGUCGAGCGAGCGGCGGACGGGUGAGUAAUGUAUGAGAAUCUGCCUGAUAGAGGGGGAUAACUACUGGAAAAGGUGGCUAAUACCGCAUACUAUCGGAUGAACCCAUAUGGGAUUAGCUAGUUGGUGGGGUAAAGGCUCACCUAGGCGACGAUCACUAGCUGGUCUGAGAGGAUGACCAGCCACACUGGAACUGAGACACGGCCCAGACUCCUACGGGAGGCAGCAGUGGGGAAUAUGGCACAAUGGGCGAAAGCCUGAUGCAGCCAUGCCGCGUGUAUGAAGAAGGCCUUCGGGUUGUAAAGUACUUUCAGCGGGGAGGCGUUACCCGAAGAAGAAGCACCGGCUAACUCCGUGCCAGCAGCCGCGGUAAUUC